rnacentral:rRNA from 1 species
UCCUACGGGAGGCAGCAGUGAGGAAUAUUGGUCAAUGGUCGGGAGACUGAACCAGCCAAGCCGCGUGAGGGAUGAAGGUACAGCGUAUCGUAAACCUCUUUUGUCAGGGAACAAAGGCGGGGACGUGUCCCCGGAUGAGUGUACCUGAAGAAAAAGCAUCGGCUAACUCCGUGCCAGCAGCCGCGGUAAUACGGAGGAUGCGAGCGUUAUCCGGAUUUAUUGGGUUUAAAGGGUGCGCAGGCGGUCUGUUAAGUCAGCGGUCAAAGCCCGGGGCUCAACCCCGGCCCGCCGUUGAAACCGGCAGU